GAUGAAAGCCAGAAAAGCCAGACAGUAAGACUGAGGAGCCCGCAGAUGAACACUGACACACAGCCGUUUGCUGGAAGCCCACACAAGAAUGGCAACACCAUAGAAGUCAUCUAUACUGAUGUGUCAGUGUGUUCAUAGAGAAGAACUGCUUGAAAACUAAUGAAACCUUUGCAUGGAUUUGGUUUCAAAAUUCUUCACUGUGAGGUAUUUCAAGGUUGUACUUAUUUUUACCUCAUUUUUUUUAAAUGUUAGAAUUUCAAAAUAUUUGUUCAGAACAAAAACAAUGGGAAAUAGUCUCUCUCUUAUAUGAAACUGUUAUUUCAGUGUUCCUGUGUAAAUCAGACAGCUAUCAUUAAAAGUUUUAUUAUACCUUAAAACUGAGCCAUUGAAAACAUACAAAAAAGCCCAUAAUCUUUACAAUCCAGGAUAGCAUCUUUAGAACAGCUGUCUGUGAUUACAUUUCUGUAACCACAAGUGUUAUUUAAAUAAUUAUUAAUUAUGGAUAUUAAGAACUUGAUGAAUUUUUGGUAGUUAAACUAAUUAAAAAUUGCUAACUCACCUGGGAUACUGAUUAAAAAUAUGAUUUCCAAGCUUUUGUAAAUUAGUUACCUUGAAAUUUGCAGUCAUCUGUAAUAAGAGAGGAAGCAUAACCUAGUGCUUUUGGCACUAGGUAACACGUUAUUGAGUACACUUUGCUGACAUAGCUUUCCUAAGUAAGUCUGAGCCAUUUAGGGUGAGAUCAAAAAGAAGCUAUCAAAGACUUAUGAGCUAGGUGUUGCAUCCAAAAUUCUAGAGCUGUAAAAGUCAACCACCAGCUCUUCAAACUGUCUCUGUCUUCCAAUACUGAGGAGCAAAAUGAAUUUCUCAUACCUGACUGAGCUCCAGAAUCAAAGCUUUCAACCUGUAGCAUCUUUUACAGGAUAGUUAUAGACAGUGUCCAAUGUGCGUGUAGUGGACAUAGUGUUCCACUAAAUUUGUUAGUGGCAUAAACAUGUUUUCUAACCUGCAGCUGAUGUGAAAUUCUAUCUGAAGUUCCUAUCUGUGAUAGCCUGAAGGUUGAAGCACUUGCAGCACUGAAGAAGUGGUAAGUGGUAACAGAAAAAAAUUCUCAGGGCCGGAUAUUUCCAGUUAGGUAUUCAGAUCUACCAUUAUGAAACCUAGCUUUUAGACAAAGAGAAAACUACAGCACUGGUCUCCUGCCUGACCUAAUUUCCUCUCCUUUUUAAAAAAAUCCAAAUAUAUUUACAUUUAGUAAUGCAGUUUUUAGUCAAAAUCUUUCUUAUAUCUCUGUGUUAAUAUAUAUUAUAAAUUAUAUACAAAACAUACAUGUAAAUAUAGUUAUAUAAUUAUACAUAGUUAAAUAUAUAUUUAAGCUGUUCAUUCAUUCCAUUCCCUCACUUACAAUAUCUUUACACUGGUUUGUUAAAAGAACCAGUAAAAUAGGACAACAUUUGCCCUUUAUGUACUUUGAUUUCAAAUAACUUAAAUGCAGUGCCUUUGAGCCACCUUGGACAGGUGACCUUUCAGGGCUGAUAGUUCAGAAUUAAAGUUGCAUCCUAUUCCAUAAAUAGAGGCUUUUUGACAACACAGAUUAAGCACAUAAUUUGCAGAUGACUUUCUACUGAAGAAACAGAGUACAGCUUUCUUGGGAAGGCAAAGCGGAUGAGUAAAUGAAAUUGAAAAACAGUCUAAGUACAACAUAGUUGAGAUAUUACUGAAAGAUGAGACUGGCCUUACUUUAAUAAUUUUUCCUGGUACGUGGCCUAUCCAUAUUAUUUUACGGGUACUAUUAUGUGAUUCUGUAUUUUCUACAUGCACAGUCUUAACGGUACACAAAUUUUCUCAUAUUGUUUUGAAAUGAUACACAAUUAAUUACAUGGUAUAUUGUUGAAAAAAAUAGUUAGAAAAGAAAUAAUUGAAGGUAAGAUAUCAGAGAUGAAAUAUAAACCAAAUUGACACUUGUAAUUGAUCUUCAAUGAAACUAAAACAUUCUUUUAUAGAAAUAUCAGUUGCAAGAAUCUGAGAAGAAUCAUCAUAUAAAUGUGCAUGAAACAGCAAAGUUUGGGGAAAAAAUACAGCACUAUUUG